CCCGACUCUUACUGGCAGAUGGUUCUCUGUGGUGGAGGGUAACAUUGACAACUUGCUGCAAGCCCAUCACUCCUUCUUCUCAUGAUGCUCUUCUGAUAAGCAUCAAGGAUGUCUGAACACCAAAUGGAAUAGCAGAUGAGAGAAAGAAAGCCAAGAGGAAGGCCAAAAAUGACGGCUGUCAGCACUGGAUUACCCUGCCACAUGUCCUCAAGAGAAGUGCGUGCAUUGUAGUACAUCCGGUACACUCUCACUGGCCAUGAAUCACCUCCAUAGGACUAAGAAUAAAAAUAGAAAGAAUGUAAUGGCAUUGAAAUCCUGUAAGAGAUAAAAAUGCUAGUUUCU